rnacentral:rRNA from 1 species
AUGGCCAACAAUGGCGUCAAGGUCACCUACAUCGAGACGCAAUUCGUCACCUCCGACGCCGCGGGCUUCAAGUCCCUCGUGCAGCGCCUCACCGGCAAGUCCGCUGAAACCGGAGCCGAAGCCGGAGCAGCACCUCCGCUCCACCGACCGCGCCCCAGCCGCCCAGCCGCCGAGAGGAGGAACGCUGUCGCCGGAGCACGAAGCCAUUUCAUGCCCGCCACCGCGGGCGCGGUCGGUACAGCCGGGAACGACGUGCGGGCUGCCAACGCCAACGCCAACGCCAACGCCGGCGCCGCGCAGCCGUGUCCGGAUGAGCUGUACGGGUUCUGCGAUUACUCAGAGCUGUUCUCCGCGGGCGAACGGCGCCAUGGCGGCGGUUACAGUGAUUUCCUCUAUUGA